UACGUAGGGGGCAAGCGUUAUCCGGAAUUACUGGGCGUAAAGCGCACGCAGGCGGUUUGCCAAGUUUGGAGUGACAGUUGUUGGCUCAACCGACAAAGGACUUCAAAAACUGGUGAACUUGAGGACGAGAGAGGAACAUGGAACUCCAGGUGUAGUAGUGAAAUGUGUAGAUAUCUGGAAGAACACCAAUGGCGAAGGCAAUGUUCUGGCUCGUUUCUGACGCUCAGGUGCGAAAGCCAGGGGAGCGAACGGG
rnacentral:rRNA from 1 species